rnacentral:rRNA from 1 species
GCCCUACCAGCUAGCCCCCCCCCACUUAAUACAACACACAAUAUUAAUAACCCAACAGACACUAGUUAUACAUGAUUAAACCAUUUUCCCUCCCCAGUAUAGGAGAUAGAACAGGACAUAGGCGCAAUAGGGAAGUACCGCAAGGGAACGCUGAAAGAGAGAUGAAAAAGCCCAGUGAAGGCAGGAGAAGCAGAGAUUAACACUCGUACCUUUUGCAUCAUGACUUAGUCAGUAGCCCCUAAGCGAAGAGCAUUUUACGUUUAAGCCCCCGAAACUGGACGAGCUACCCCGAGACAGCCUGCUGUAGGGCGAACCCAUCUCUGUGGCAAAAGAGUGGGAGGAUCUCCGGGUAGAGGUGACAGACCUACCGAGCCCAGUGAUAGCUGGUUUCCUGUAAAUAGAAUAGAAGUUCAGCCCUUUGGCUUCUCCAGCCACAUAAGGUCUGCCCUCAAACGGCCUUAAGAACCCCAAAGGAGUUAUUCUAGGGAGGGACAGCUCCCUUGAAAGAAGAUACAACUUUGCUAGCAGGUUAAAGAUCACACACAUGAAGGACUAGUACCCAGGUGGGCCUAGAAGCAGCCACCCUGCAGGAUAGCGUUAAAGCUCAAGUGCUUAGCCCCCAAAAUUCCGAUGAUAUUAUCCUACACCCCUUAGUAUAACAGGACUCCCAAUGCGCACAUUGGAAAGAAACUGCUAAUAUGAGUAAUAAGAGAGCUAGUCUCUCUCGAGUGCACCUCUGUAAAUCAGAUCGAACCCCCACUGAACACUAACGCCCCCAAAUAGUAGAGGGAAGAGGGUCAAGCCUCUCCGGAGCUAGGAGAACCCCCUAACACCAGCGUUAACCCUACACAGGAGUGCAUCCCGAAAGACAAAAAGAAAGAGAAGGAACUCGGCAAACCUUGGCCUCGCCUGUUUACCAAAAACAUCGCCUCUUGUCCCCUCAAUAUAAGAGGUCCCGCCUGCCCUGUGACGUAAGUUUAACGGCCGCGGUAUUUUGACCGUGCAAAGGUAGCGUAAUCACUUGUCUUUUAAAUAAAGACCUGUAUGAAUGGCACGACGAGGGCUAAGCUGUCUCCUUUUUCUAGUCAAUGAAAUUGAUCUACCCGUGCAGAAGCGGGCAUAAAGCCAUAAGACGAGAAGACCCUAUGGAGCUUCAGGCGAAGGACAUACCACGUUAAAGAACCUGCUUUACCAGGUGUAAACCAAGUGGAUCUCUGACCCUUAUGCCUUUGGUUGGGGCGACCGCGGGGAACAAAUUAACCCCCACGUGGAAAGGAGUGUAUUACUUCUUGAAACGAGAGCCACAGCUCUAAUUAACAGAAAGUCUGACCAUCAGAUCCGGCACUGCCGAUCAACGGACCCAGUUACCCUAGGGAUAACAGCGCAAUCCCCUUCUAGAGCCCAUAUCGACGAGGGGGUUUACGACCUCGAUGUUGGAUCAGGACUUCCUAAUGGUGCAGCCGCUAUUAAGGGUUC